rnacentral:lncRNA from 1 species
AUGGCCAGCCAACAGGAUUCGGGCUUCUUUGAGAUCAGUAUCAAAUAUUUACUGAAAUCCUGGAGUAAUACUUCUCCAGUUGGCAACGGUUACAUCAAGCCUCCGGUUCCCCCUGCCUCAGGAACACACAAGGAGAAAGGGCCGCCAACCAUGUUACCCAUCAACGUGGACCCAGACAGCAAACCGGGAGAAUAUGUCCUCAAGAGUUUGUUUGUCAAUUUCACCACCCAGGCUGAGCGCAAGAUCCGCAUCAUUAUGGCAGAGCCACUGGUGAGUAUAUGCCAUGAGGCCUCCCUCUUUGUGAAUUCAUCUGUAUGCUGAAUUCUGUAGGCCCUCCAUAUUACAGGGCUCCAUAUCCAUGGAGUCAGCCAACCUCAGAUUGAAAACACUUGGAAAAACGAAUUGUGUCUGUACUAAACAUGUACUUAACUUUUUUGGUUGUUAUUCCCUAAAUAAUACAGUAUAAGAACUAUUUAUAUAACAUUCACAUUAUAUUAGGUCUUAUAAGUAAUCUAGAUGAUUUAAA